GAUGAAGAACGUAGCAAAAUGCGAUAAGUAAUGUGAAUUGCAGAAUUCAGUGAAUCAUCGAAUCUUUGAACGCACAUUGCGCCCGCCAGUAUUCUGGCGGGCAUGUCUGUUCGAGCGUCAUUUCAACCCUCAAGCACAGCUUGGUGUUGGGCCUCGCGUUAAUUCGCGUUCCCCAAAUUGAUUGGCGGUCACGUCGAGCUUCCAUAGCGUAGUAGUAAAACCCUCGUUACUGGUAAUCGUCGCGGCCACGCCGUUAAACCCCAACUUCUGAAUGUUGACCUCGGAUCAGGUAGGAAUACCCGCUGAACUUAAGCAUAUCAAUAAGCGGAGGA
rnacentral:misc_RNA from 1 species